rnacentral:rRNA from 1 species
UACAGAGGUCUCAAGCGUUGUUCGGAUUCAUUGGGCGUAAAGGGCGCGUAGGCGGCGGGGUAAGUCGGGUGUGAAAUCUCAGGGCUCAACCCUGAAACUGCACUCGAUACUGCUCUGCUUGAGGACUGGAGAGGAGACUGGAAUUCACGGUGUAGCAGUGAAAUGCGUAGAGAUCGUGAGGAAGACCAGUGGCGAAGGCGGGUCUCUGGGCCGAUACUGACGCUGAGGAGCGAAAGCGUGGGGAGCGAACAGG